UAACAGAGGUGGCAAGCGUUGUUCGGAAUUACUGGGCGUAAAGGGCGCGUAGGCGGCCUUCUAAGUCAGACGUGAAAUCCCCGGCUUAACCUGGGAACUGCGUCUGAUACUGGAGGGCUUGAGUAUGGGAGAGGGAUGUAGAAUUCCAGGUGUAGCGGUGAAAUGCGUAGAUAUCUGGAGGAAUACCGGUGGCGAAGGCGGCAUCCUGGACCAUUACUGACGCUGAGGCGCGAAAGCUAGGGAGCAAACGGG
rnacentral:rRNA from 1 species